UUCUCUUGUAUAAAGAAUGUGUCUUUUGCAGGUGGUGGUUGUCUGCGAGGAACGAAAACAUCAACGAACACCAAUUUUAGGCCGGAAGGAGAACUUGCCCGGACAGUUGCAGUGGAAGUGAAGGCUUCAAAUAUCUGUGGAACAUACCUGAAGAAGAGGAAAGAAGUUGCACGAUCCUGCAGACAAAAGAACCCACUUGCAUGUUGUCCUUUGUUGAUGAAGCUGUAAAAGGAGGCACACAUUGGGUGUCCAGAAUGCAGGGUUGUUUGCUCCAACGAAGAUGCUUUGCUCAGCAACUUCUGCAUUCGCCACAUCAAGAACAUUCGAACAUUUCCCACCCACCAUGUGGAUGAAGAUGUUUGGACUGAUGAUUCUGGGGCAUAUGUGUGGACAAUGUGGUCUUCAUUACAGCAUGAUGCAGCUGCGUAUUCAACAAUAUGUCAACCUGUCCCAGCGAAUGUUGAUGCUCUCAAAUGAUGUUGAGAAAAACCCAGGACCGUUUGUGGAGAACUACUUGGCAGGGAAGUCCCUGCAAUUUUCUUGGACAAGGAAUGAUGUGGAGGAAAAGAGAAAUCAGAUUGCACAGUCAUCGACUGCUUUCAGCCGCGAAGAGGCUGUCUGGUUCCAGGAUUGAACCCGUUGCAGAUUUCAGGAGAAUGC